GACGAACGCUGGCGGCGUGCUUAACACAUGCAAGUCGAACGGUGAAAGCGGAGCUUGCUCCGCUGGAUCAGUGGCGAACGGGUGAGUAACACGUGGGCAACCUGCCCCUCACUUCGGGAUAACUCCGGAAAACCGGGGCUAAUACCGGAUACGACCUCCUUGGGCAUCCUGGGAGGUGGAAAGUUUUUCGGUGAGGGAUGGGCCCGCGGCCUAUCAGCUUGUUGGUGAGGUAGUGGCUCACCAAGGCGACGACGGGUAGCCGGCCUGAGAGGGCGACCGGCCACACUGGGACUGAGACACGGCCCAGACUCCUACGGGAGGCAGCAGUGGGGAAUAUUGCGCAAUGGGCGAAAGCCUGACGCAGCAACGCCGCGUGCGGGAUGAAGGCCUUCGGGUUGUAAACCGCUUUCAGCAGGGUAGAAGCCGCAAGGUGACGGUACCUGCAGAAGAAGCACCGGCUAACUACGUGCCAGCCGCCGCCGUAA
rnacentral:rRNA from 1 species